rnacentral:lncRNA from 1 species
UCCUCCUAAUUUUCCAACGCCUCCAAAAAUACCCUCUCCUGUGUACACUCCCCCAAAAGCUCCUUCCCCUAGUAACAAUCCACCCUAUGUUCCUACACCUCCAAAAACACCUUCUCCUUCUUAUAAUCCUCCUAAUGUUCCCACUCCUCCCAAAACACCUUCACCUAUUUACACUCCACCAAAUGUUCCUACUCCUCCAAAAACACCAUCUCCUGCUUAUAGUCCUCCAAAUGCUCCUUCCCCUCAUAACCAACCAAAUGUUCCUACUCCUCCAAAAACACCAUCUCCUGCUUAUAGUCCUCCAAAUGCUCCUUCCCCUCAUAACCAACCUCCCUAUGUUCCUACACCUCCAAAAACACCUUCUCCUUCUUAUAAUCCUCCUAAUGUUCCCACUCCUCCCAAAACACCUUCACCUAUUUACACUCCACCAAAUGUUCCUACUCCUCCAAAAACACCAUCUCCUGCUUAUAGUCCUCCAAAUGCUCCUUCCCCUCAUAACCAACCUCCCUAUGUUCCUACACCUCCAAAAACACCUUCUCCUUCUUAUAAUCCUCCUAAUGUUNNN